GACGAACGCUGGCGGCGUGCUUAACACAUGCAAGUCGAACGGUAAGGCCCUUCGGGGUACACGAGUGGCGAACGGGUGAGUAACACGUGGGUGAUCUGCCCUGCACUUCGGGAUAAGCCUGGGAAACUGGGUCUAAUACCGGAUAGGACCACUGCCUGCAUGGGUGGUGGUGGAAAGCUUUUGCGGUGUGGGAUGGGCCCGAGGCCUAUCAGCUUGUUGGUGGGGUGAUGGCCUACCAAGGCGAAGACGGGUAGCCGGCCUGGGAGGGUGACCGGCCACACUGGGACUGAGAUACGGCCCAGACUCCUACGGGAGGCAGCAGUGGGGAAUAUUGCACAAUGGGCGCAAGCCUGAUGCAGCGACGCCGCGUGAGGGAUGACGGCCUUCGGGUUGCAAACCUCUUUCAGCACCGACGAAGCGCAAGUGACGGUAGGUGCAGAAGAAGGACCGGCCAACUACGUGCCAGCCGCCGCCGUAA
rnacentral:rRNA from 1 species